AUGAACCCUCAGUGCAUCUCCUGGGUGCUCCCAGCGCCUCUAUCCCCAUGUGUCCCGGUGUCCUGCCCCGCCGCCUGUGUCCGUGCACGCCUCCGUACCGGGGCAUCCCCGGUGCCCAUGCAGCCCCAACCACGCUCUAUCCCGCUCCUUUCUGGUGCUCAUCCCGCUCUAUUCCGGUGUCCCCCAGUGCGCAUCCCGGUCUAUCCCCGGGUUUAUCUCGGUGCCAACACUGAUCUAUCCCCGCCUCUAUCCCAGUAUAUCCCGGUUCAUCCCAGUCUCUCUCCCGGUGCCCAUCCUGAUCUACAAGGGUCCACCCCAGCCUCUCUCCCGGUGCCCAUCCCGGUCCAUCCCAGUCUCUCUCCCGGUGCUCAUCCUGAUCUAUCCCGGUAUAUCCCGGUCCAUCCCAGUCUCUCUCCCGGUAUAUCCCAGUCCAUCUCAGUCUCUCUCCCGGUGCCUGUCCCGGUAUAUCCCGGUCCAUCCCAGUCUCUCUCCCGGUGCCCAUCCCGGUAUAUCCCGGUCCAUCCCGGUAUAUCCCGGUCCAUCCCAAUCUCUCUCCCGGUGCCUGUCCCGGCGCUCUCCCGCCCGCGCACGUGCUCUGCCGCCGCGCUCCCGCGCAUGCGCGCUCCCGCCGCCCAGGCGCCGCCAUUUUGUCCGAGGGCGGCGGGCGUGAGGGGCACCCCUGAGGGGCGCCCAGGAAGCGCUACCGGAGCGGAGAGCGAGAGGAAACCCGCCCCCGGGACGGUGCAGGACAGACGAGCCCUGGAGGAGAGCUCAGGAGCCGCGCUGAGGAGCACACCGGGCCCCAUUGUGAGCAGAAGGCGCCGCCGCCAUCUUACCUCUCUGCCGCCGCGGCCUCCGCGCUGCCGCGCCGUGCGCCCGCCCCGCCUCCUCACUGGCCCGCCCGCCCGCCAAUCAGCGGCGAGGACGGGGGCGUUCUCACGAGUGAUUGGCUCAGCUCGUAGUCACUCACGCAGAGAGCGACCACGCCUUCCUAGGGUCACGUGGGGGCGGCGCGGCGGGAACGCGACACGUGAGGGCGGCGGGAGCGGGGCGGGGGUCCCGGGACAGAACCGGGGCGGAUCCCGGGCCAGGACACCGGGGCGGGGGUCCUGGGCUAGGACACCAGGGAGAGGGGAGUCCCGGGCCAGGAGACCGGGGGAGAGGGGUCCCAGGCCAGGACUGGGGCGGUUCCCGAGCCAGGGGACCGGGGUGGGGGUCCCGGGACAGAUCACCGGGGC
rnacentral:lncRNA from 14 species